GCCUGUUCCUGCAGUGGCUCUUGUGGUGACAGAAGGCAGGCGCUUUGCCACUGAACUAAAUCCCCAGCCCCAAGACAACAAAUUUCUGAUUGCAUGGAGUAUUUAAAUCGAAGAUGUGGAAUUCUUUGGAGGUUUAUCUCCUGCACUGGAAGGAUGGAACUGAUGCCCUUUCAAGAAACUUUACGAUAAGGGAACUUGCCAUUCACAAAUCAUCAUCCCCAGACUGCAGGAUGGAGCCACCACCAGGGCUGGGAGCCUGUCUGUCUUCCAGAGUAGAACCCCAUCACUAGAGGAACAAGCAGAGGGUAAGAAGCAUGAAGAGUUUUUCCU
rnacentral:lncRNA from 1 species